rnacentral:rRNA from 1 species
CCUACGGGAGGCAGCAGUGAGGAAUAUUGGUCAAUGGACGCAAGUCUGAACCAGCCAUGCCGCGUGCAGGAAGAAGGCACUAUGAGUUGUAAACCGCUUUUGUACGGGGGUAAACGCAGAUACGCGUAUCUGUAUGAGAGUAUCGGACGAAAAAGCAUCGGCUAACUCCGUGCCAGCAGCCGCGGUAAUACGGAGGAUGCGAGCGUUAUCCGGAUUUAUUGGGUUUAAAGGGUGCGUAGGCGGCCAGUCAAGUCAGCGGUAAAAAUGCGGUGCUCAACCCCGUACAGCCGUUGAAACUGGCAGUCUUGAGUGGGCGAGAAGUAUGCGGAAGGCGUGGUGUAGCGGUGAAAUGCAUAGAUAUCACGCAGAACUCCGAUUGCGAAGGCAGCAUACCGGCGCCAGACUGACGCUGAGGCACGAAAGCGUGGGUAUCGAACAGGAUUAGAUACCCGGGUAGUC